AAGAACUUUGUGGUUUUAUGAUUGUAGUAAGAACUUUGUGGUUUAUGAUUGUAGGCCUGAGGAUGGUUAGUAGGAACAUUGUGGUUUUCUGUAUAUGAUUGUAGGCCAGUGAGAUCUUAGGUUAAAAUCCCAUUAUUGAGAUCUAAUGCGGUCCAAGGUCUCCAUCCUCGUACCACCCUGCAAUCACUUUAUGACCAGAGGGGUUUCUUUCGAUUCAUUUUUUCUCUCAAACCUUUUAUAUAUAUAUAUAUCUCUCUCUAAACGGUCAACCGGCCCAAGCAGGGAGGAUUUCCGGCUACAGUACUGUGAUUCCGAAUUUAGUAUUUGAGAUCGUGGCAUGAUGGAACAGAGGAUGAGGGCCCAUUGUACUCGAAAGACAAACAUGUCUAAGAAUUAGUGGCACAAAGAAAGGAGAGGCUACAAAUUUAUAUUGAUGAGUCAUUAAGCGCCAUUCGGGCGUGAACGAGAAAUUGUAGAAGGACGGGGUUAUUGCUACUAAUAGAACUGGCAGAGCAACACCCCAGAUAUAUUGAUCAUCUGUUGAUGGUGGCUAUGGAGGAAAGGUGGCGUCCCGAAAUCAACCGUCCAUUUGGCAGUAUGUAUUGGAGAUAUGAUGUCAACAUUGUAUGAUACACCGCAGAUUCACCGACUCAAAGUCACUGGGGAUCCUGUGCUGACAAGAGACUGCUAGCCGUAACAUACAUACUUGAAUCAUUUGGUCUGAGAUUGCCUGGAGGAGGGAAGACUUUUGACACUAUAGUUCAGUUGGUUGAGGCAGAAUUUUAUAGAGUUACCUGAGAAUGCGCACAUAGGCAGGCAACACUACUUUUUUCCAGUUCGAAGGGCAAUGAAGUGCCCAGGAGAUACCUAACUUUAUUCAAGGAUCGUACAUCACUUUGGUGGCUCUGCUACCCUAUUUUAGGUGUAAUGGGACCCACAUGAAGCAUAGAAAGACCUCGGCCAUGAGGAUGAUGACGUGGAGUUGGAAGACACAAGCGGUUUGAGGUUCUCAUUCUUGAACCGCUAUGUUUUCAAAAAAAUAAGGAGCGGUCCAAAGAUGGGGACCUUAGACCAGCCUAAAACUGAGCUCUGCUCAGUCCAGGGGUCAAUCCGAGGUUCCCAUCCUCAUACUGUUGUUUUUUUGAAAAGAAAAGAAGGAUCGGCCCAAGAAUUAUAACCUCAUACCGCUUGGGCACUACCUCUAAAACUUGGGGCACUGCCUUACUAAAGGAAAACACUAAAAAAAAAAAAAAAAAAAUACCAAAUUCAGUCCGAAGAUGAUAUCCUCAAAUCGACGGGUAGUUUUGAAAAAAAAAAUAUAGUGGGGUGACUGACUUUCUUUGUAAUUUCCAGCUAUAAGAAAGGCAUUUUGUAUUUUCUCUAUUUUUUUUAAAGUCCUUACGUAAAUCGCUCUUUACUCAAACCUUAUUAAAUUUACCAAACUAAUUAGUCCUGUCCCCUGUCAUCUCUCACACUUUUUUAAUUGUCUCCCAAAAUACAAAGAUUUUAUGAUCUCCGAAACCCUAGCCAGCAUUUACGGGAGCAAACAUGUGAAUAGUUCCAUGUUUCAUUGGAUUGCACGUUCUCUAAACAACCCUACGACGACACAUUGCUCCAACCAGGGAGGGUUUUUCUCAGCCCUUAAAUCAGGGGAAAGCCCUAAUCAGGGGAGGGUUUUACAAUCGAAGACUUAAAAGCUGCCCAUUAUAUAUACAAGGCUCAAACCCACUUUCUAAUAAGAGAAGAAUAGAGAAAUCAACAAAAAAUCAGACAUGGGUUUUACUGCUUCUUCAAUUGCUUACCUUUUUUUCUCUCUAGCUCUUCUAGUGAGAGAAAUUGUCCCAGUGUCUGGCGCAGAGGUGUCCCACCACUCGCCACCCCCAUCUCACCACCACCACCACCAUGGCCACCACCACCACCCUCAUUUUCCACCACCCAAAUCCGCUUUCAACCAUGCUCCACCCCCUCAUCCCGUUAAAAUCGCUCCCGAGCACCAUGCACCACCGCCCAAAAUCGCUCCCUUGCACCAUGCACCACCCCCUAAUACUGCUCCUGUGCAUCAUGCACCACCCCCCAAGACUGCUCCUGUGAACCACGCACCGCCUCCAAAGUGAGGCAUUACAGACUGCAUUUGAUGGCCAUUAUCACCCACUACUUUAUAUUGAUUCUGCAAUAAUGUGAGUGCCUUGGUGUAGAUUUUCUAUGUUUCUUAUUUGUUGGGUUUUAAGUGGUGUUGAAUUGCUUCAUUGGUCUUCCUUCAUGUUCGUGCUGAGUUUCUUGCUGACAGAAGGUGCUCUCAGAGUCUGUGUCCUCAGAGGUCUCUAUGAAUGUAAUGUAAUGGUCGUUUAAUAAAGUGGGCCGCUGUCUGUGUCUUGAGUGUGUCACUUGAGAAUACCUGUUUGU